GGGGCUUUUUUUCAUCCUUAUCAUUUUUUAUUUGCUGAUUAAUCAGCUAUUCAAAUUUACUAUUGUACUAAUGAACAACAUAAACAAAAGCCCCCCAAAAACAGGAAGAGCCAAAAAAGCAACAAAAACCGUUAAAACUAACGGAGAAUUGCUGACAUUGCAAAGGGAAAUUUCCUUUUUUUUUUCUCUAAUUGUAAGAUAAAUAAAAUAGUUGGGCUAGGUGGGGCAGCAAAGGAUCUAAUCGGAGCUGCU
rnacentral:misc_RNA from 1 species